GAAAUAACAUGAUUUUUAUUCCAGACAGUUACAUUGGAUUGAACAGAGCAUAAAGAAUGUGCUGGACGACACAGACAACAGUGACCUAUGUUUUGUUUCCGACAAGGACAUACAUGACUGUUUCGAAGACAGCCAAGUUUUAGUAUUAGAAGCACCGCUGGGUGCUGAUUUAUCUGUAGGAACUAUACCGUCUAAGAGUAAGCAGAAAUAUACAAGUGAAAAUCGACAGACUUUGGUGGCAAAACACAGCAAAAAUGAUCAAGAACAGCAGUAUUUUUUACAUUUAAAAUCAACAGAAUCUAUUGGAGUUAUACUUUUAAGUGAUAAUGAUAGUGAUAGUGACAAGGAAAUGGAUGACGAUGCAAGUAUGGAUGAUCUUGAGGUGCAGAAAUACACAGACGGAAAAAGUGCAGAUAGUGUGCAUGCCAACAAUUACCUGCUGAGACUGAGUCCACCAGUAACUAAAUAUGACUUCUCCUUUUCUCUCUAUGGAUCAGAAGGAUUGUGUGACUUAUAUGACAUCCCCUGUUAAUUGUAGUUUAUAGGCCUUUACUCAACUUUGUUUUUAAAGACAUUUUUUAUUACUCUAUUUUUGAUCAUGUUGAAGUUUAUUAACUAAAUUGUAAAUACAUUGUGUAAAUAUGGAAAAUCGUUUUGGAAAUUAUGAAAGGAAAGAAAUAAAUAAUAAGUUUUUAUGUAUACAAA